UGAAUACGAGACGCUAAGGCGUCGAAGUAGUGUAUGUCAUACUUCCAAGAAAAGCUUGCACUGUCAUAGAUAAAAAACGCCUGUACCAUAACCGACACAGGUGGGUAGGUAGAGUAUACUAAGGGGCGCGAGAUAACUCUCUCUAAGGAACUCGGCAAAAUAACUCCGUAACUUCGGGAGAAGGAGUGCCUUAUUCUUAAGGUUGCAAUAACAAGAUCCAAGCAACUGUUUAUCAAAAACACAGGUCUCCGCUAAGUCGUAAGACGAUGUAUGGGGGCUGACGCCUGCCCAGUGCCAGAAGGUUAAAGAAGCUGGUUAGCAUUUGCGAAGCUAGUAACUGAAGCCCUGGUGAACGGCGGCCGUAACAAUAACGGUCCUAAGGUAGCGAAAUUCCUUGUCGGGUAAGUUCCGACCCGCACGAAAGGCGUAAUGAUUUGGAUACUGUCUCGGAGAGGGGCUCGGUGAAAUAGACUUGUCUGUGAAGAUGCGGACUACCUGCACCAGGACAGAAAGACCCUAUGAAGCUUUACUGUAACUUGAAAUUGAAAUUGGACUUUAUUCGCGCAGUAUAGGUGGGAGGCGUUGAUUAUAAUCUUGCGGGAUUAUUGGAGCCAUUAGUGAGAUACCACUCUUGUAAUGUUAGAUUUCUAACUUUGAAUCAUUAUCUGGUCAAAGAACAGUUUCAGGCGGGCAGUUUGACUGGGGCGGUCGCCUCCUAAACGGUAACGGAGGCGUACAAAGGUUUCCUCUGAACGGUUAGAAAUCGUAUCUAGAGUGUAAAGGCAUAAGGAAGCUUGACUGUGAGACCUACAAGUCGAGCAGGGACGAAAGUCGGUCUUAGUGAUCUGACGGUACUGAGUGGAAAGGCCGUCACUCAACGGAUAAAAGUUACUCUAAGGAUAACAGGCUGAUCUCCCCCAAGAGUUCACAUCGACGGGGAGGUUUGGCACCUCGAUGUCGGCUCAUCGCAUCCUGGGGCGGUAGUACGUCCCAAGGGUUGGGCUGUUCGCCCAUGAAAGCGGUACGCGAGCUGGGUUCAGAACGUCGUGAGACAGUUCGGUCCAUAUCCGGUGUAGGCGUUAGAAUAUUGAGAGGAGCCUUCUUUAGUACGAGAGGACCGAGAAGGACAUACCUCUGGUGUACCAGUUAUCGUGCCAACGGUAAACGCUGGGUAGCUAUGUAUGGAGUGGAUAACCGCUGAAAGCAUCUAAGUGGGAAGCCCACCUCAAGAUAAGUAUUCUC
rnacentral:rRNA from 1 species